UCGCUGGCGGCAUGCCUACACAUGCAAGUCGNGCGAGAAACCACCCUUCGGGGUGGGAGUACAGCGGCGCACGGGUGAGUAGCGCGUGGGUAAUCUACCUCUGUCUGGGGGAUAACACACCGAAAGAUGUGCUAAUACCGCAUAAUCCGGCGGACCUGCGGGUCGGUCGGCAAAGGUGGCCUCUUCAUGAAAGCUGCCGGGUGGAGAUGAGCCCGCGUCCCAUUAGCUAGUUGGUAGGGUAACGGCCUACCAAGGCGACGAUGGGUAGCUGGUCUGAGAGGACGGCCAGCCACACUGGAACUGGUACACGGUCCAGACUCCUACGGGAGGCAGCAGUGAGGAAUAUUGCGCAAUGGGGGAAACCCUGACGCAGCGAUGCCGCGUGGGUGAAGAAGGCUUUCGGGUCGUAAAGCCCUGUCAGGUGGGAAGAACAGCCUUUCAUUGAAUAGGUGAGAGGUGUGACGGUACCACCGAAGGAAGCACCGGCUAACUCCGUGCCAGCAGCCGCGGUAAGACGGAGGGUGCGAGCGUUAUUCGGAAUCAUUGGGCGUAAAGAGCGUGUAGGCGGCCGGUUAAGUCAGGUGUGAAAGCCCAGGGCUCAACCCUGGAAGGGCACUUGAAACUGGUCGGCUUGAGUCC
rnacentral:rRNA from 1 species